UAGGGAAUCUUCGGCAAUGGACGGAAGUCUGACCGAGCAACGCCGCGUGAGUGAAGAAGGUUUUCGGAUCGUAAAGCUCUGUUGUAAGAGAAGAACGAGUGUGAGAGUGGAAAGUUCACACUGUGACGGUAUCUUACCAGAAAGGGACGGCUAACUACGUGCCAGCAGCCGCGGUAAUACGUAGGUCCCGAGCGUUGUCCGGAUUUAUUGGGCGUAAAGCGAGCGCAGGCGGUUAGAUAAGUCUGAAGUUAAAGGCUGUGGCUUAACCAUAGGACGCUUUGGAAACUGUUUAACUUGAGUGCAAGAGGGGAGAGUGGAAUUCCAUGUGUAGCGGUGAAAUGCGUAGAUAUAUGGAGGAACACCGGUGGCGAAAGCGGCUCUCUGGCUUGUAACUGACGCUGAGGCUCGAAAGCGUGGGGAGCAAACAGGAUUAGAUACCCUGGUAGUCCACGCCGUAAACGAUGAGUGCUAGGUGUUAGACCCUUUCCGGGGUUUAGUGCCGCAGCUAACGCAUUAAGCACUCCGCCUGGGGAGUACGACCGCAAGGUUG
rnacentral:rRNA from 1 species